rnacentral:rRNA from 1 species
AUACGGAGGGUGCAAGCGUUACUCGGAAUUACUGGGCGUAAAGGACGCGUAGGCGGUUUAGAAAGUCAGAUGUGAAAGCCUAUGGCUUAACCAUAGAACUGCAUUUGAAACUUCCAAACUAGAGUGGGGGAGAGGUCAGUGGAAUUAGUGGUGUAGGGGUAAAAUCCGUAGAGAUCACUAGGAAUACUCAUUGCGAAGGCGACUGACUGGAACUUAACUGACGCUAAGGCGUGAAAGCGUGGGGAGCAAACAGGAUUAGAAACCCCAGUAGUCC